UCUCAUACAGGGGAGAUCAUUUACUCUGAUCCAACAUUCUACAAAAGUCGUGGAGGACGAAAGCCACAAAACAGUCAUGGGACAAAGAGAGUUAAAGAGGAGAAUGAUGUGGUGUAUGCUGGAGUUGCUGUGAGAUGA